rnacentral:rRNA from 1 species
CAGCAGCCGCGGUAAAACGUAGGGUGCAAGCGUUAAUCGGAAUUACUGGGCGUAAAGCGUGCGCAGGCGGUUAUAUAAGACAGAUGUGAAAUCCCCGGGCUCAACCUGGGAACUGCAUUUGUGACUGUAUAGCUAGAGUACGGCAGAGGGGGAUGGAAUUCCGCGUGUAGCAGUGAAAUGCGUAGAUAUGCGGAGGAACACCGAUGGCGAAGGCAAUCCCCUGGGCCUGUACUGACGCUCAUGCACGAAAGCGUGGGGAGCAAACAGGAUUAGAUACCCCGGUAGUCCCUGUCUCUUAUAC